GGUCGCGUGGUGUAGUUGGUUAACACGCAUCCCUGUCAAGGAUGAGAUCGCCGGUUCGAGUCCGGUCGCGACCG
rnacentral:tRNA from 1 species